GAUUACUCAGUCGGAUACGCUCAUCUGAUUGAUCAGGAUCCAUACUGGAAAGCAGGUGUUGUUCCAGAGUCCAGGACGAGUGACAUGAAAGAGAAAGAGGAGCUGGACGAUAUUUUAAAUCUGGUGGAAGAAUUACAGGCUGAAGUUGAUGCCCGGAGGUUUCUGCAGCUAUCAGUCACCUAUUAAGACAGCUUGAGUGGUUGUUUCGAAGCCGGUCUAGUCUCUGGCUGUAUUUCAAUUUUGUCAGUCUGACUCCAUGAGUACAUGUUUGUACUUGCUGAUAAGUGCUACUAUGUACACAAGAUAAUUUGCAGUGCACUGGAAGCAGAGGGUCCGGGCUCGCUCAUCCAGGCAGAAAUAAAAGAGAAGCCAGCCCUGCAGAUGUGAUAAUUGACUCUAGCUGCUGUGGUUAGAUGAGAGACAGAGAGUUAGAUGAGAGACAGAAGGCCAGAAGCAAUGCUGUGUGUUUCCAUUGUGAUCGUUGCUAUAAAAAUAAAAAAAAAUAAUAAAAACUCUCCCAAGGUGGAAAAAUAAUCUGCCAAACAAAAUGAAUCAAAAAGAUAGAGACUGAAUGCAGUCGAUACAAAAAAAAAAUCAUUUGUAAAAUAGACAUUUGAUUGAAUGACAGUUUAUAGUUUUUAUGUGUAUUGUAACCAUGG
ensembl:lncRNA